rnacentral:rRNA from 1 species
CCUACGGGAGGCAGCAGUGGGGAAUAUUGCGCAAUGGGCGAAAGCCUGACGCAGCGACGCCGCGUGAGGGAUGAAGGUCUUCGGAUCGUAAACCUCUGUCAGCAGGGAAGAACGGUCACUGUGCUAAUCAGCAGUGAAUUGACGGUACCUGCAAAGGAAGCACCGGCUAACUCCGUGCCAGCAGCCGCGGUAAUACGGAGGGUGCGAGCGUUAAGCGGAAUUACUGGGCGUAAAGCGCUCGUAGGCGGUAUGUCAAGUCAAGGGUGAAAUCCCCGCGCUCAACGUGGGAACUGCCUUUGAAACUGGCAAACUGGAGUGUGUGAGAGGAUAGUGGAAUUCCAGGUGUAGGAGUGAAAUGCGUAGAUAUCUGGAGGAACAUCAGUGGCGAAGGCGACUAUCUGGCACAUAACUGACGCUGAGGAGCGAAAGCGUGGGUAGCAAACAGGAUUAGAUACCCUUGUAGUC